UUAAUUGAAGAGUUUGAUCAUGGCUCAGAUUGAACGCUGGCGGCAGGCCUAACACAUGCAAGUCGAGCGGUAACAGAUUGAUAGCUUGCUAUCAAUGCUGACGAGCGGCGGACGGGUGAGUAAUGCCUGGGAAUAUGCCCUGAUGUGGGGGAUAACUAUUGGAAACGAUAGCUAAUACCGCAUAAUCUCUUCGGAGCAAAGAGGGGGACCUUCGGGCCUCUCGCGUCAGGAUUAGCCCAGGUGGGAUUAGCUUGUUGGUGGGGUAAUGGCUCACCAAGGCAACGAUCCCUAGCUGGUCUGAGAGGAUGAUCAGCCACACUGGAACUGAGACACGGUCCAGACUCCUACGGGAGGCAGCAGUGGGGAAUAUUGCACAAUGGGGGAAACCCUGAUGCAGCCAUGCCGCGUGUAUGAAGAAGGCCUUCGGGUUGUAAAGUACUUUCAGUUGUGAGGAAGGCAGUAAAGUUAAUAGCUUUGCUGUUUGACGUUAGCAACAGAAGAAGCACCGGCUAACUCCGUGCCAGCAGCCGCGGUAAUACGGAGGGUGCGAGCGUUAAUCGGAAUUACUGGGCGUAAAGCGCAUGCAGGUGGU
rnacentral:rRNA from 1 species